UUGGAGACACCUUAAACAACAUCCAGAUUCGGGUGUUUGCUAACGUUAGCCUCUCAAGGAGUAACGGUACUGGGAACAGUAGGAUAUUCUAUCUUUUUAUUCUAGGGUAAUAACGGACACCCCAGAACAGUGCACCUGAUAUGAUGCUACUCUCGGCUCGGAACAUACAAACUCAUAAGAUAACGCAGGUUCCAUAGUUUUGCCAUUUGACCUCUAUGGUUUAGCGAAUGAAGUGGCUAGCUAACGUUACAAACUGGCUAGUCAGUUAAAUUAACAGUAACGUUACAAACAAUGUCUGGCUCACCAGGUAAUCUUAUGGCUCGGCGCCCGCAACCUCCAACGAAGACCGUAGUCAUGUACAGGAAUGGAGAUGCUUUUUUUACUGGGAGGAAGAUUGUCAUUAACCAUCGCCAAAUGUCAACUUUUGACAGCUUUUUAAGUUCAGUAACACUUGGUAUUGAGGCACCAUUCGGAGCCGUGCGAAAUAUUUACACUCCACGGGAGGGGCACAGGAUACUUGACAUGGAGCAUUUGCAGCAUGGGGAGAAAUAUGUGGCAGCUGGAAGGGAACGUUUUAAAAGGCUUGAAUACCUACAAAUAACAACGAAGAAACCGCAAAGAAAGAAAAAUGAACUGAUUCAGCCUGUAGUUCACAGCAAAAUAGUCGUUCCAGCUCGUUGGAGGAGAAUCAUUAAUGAGUCAUGCACCAUCCAUGUUUUUACCAAUGGAGAUAUCUUGGUUCCACCAGCUCGGAUACUGAUACCAAAGUACACUCUCACAAACUGGGACAAUGUACUGGCCAUGGUAACAGAGAAGGUACAUCUACGCACAGGAGCAGUAUACAGGUUAUGCACAUUAGACGGGACUCCUUUAUUCAGUGGUACAGAGCUGGAGAAUAACCAGUACUACGUGGGUGUGGGGGCUGAGAGAUUCCGACACUUGCCAUAUUUCCAGUGGGUUCCUAACAAAGCAGUUAGUCGAGAUAUGACCCAGGGUGAUGUUUUACCACCACUUAAAAAGAUGAAAGCAGGAAAGAAUGUUGCUGCAGAUUGCCCAGCCCCGUCCCAGGGAGAGGAGCCGGAGCAGGCGGCCAAGGGGCUCCAGGCCCUGCUGAGCGGCCGCAGUGGCUCCCGCUUCUAUGCCAAGUCCCAGGCAGCCAAACAAGCGCCAGAGCCUUCCAGAAAUCCACCUAUUUUCUCAGUGGGGGCAGAUAGCGUGUUCAAAGCCAAGGACAGAAGAAAGGAAACAGCGGGAGCGGCCGAGGUGGAGGAGGAUAGGCGAGUGCGAGUGGACCUGCCCAUUGAUCAGGUCAAAGCCAAGACGGUGGAUGAGGAGCAGUGUGACUACCCUCGUCCAGAGAGUGGUGGUAGGAGUCCCAUUAAAUCUUUCUUUCGUCGGGCCAGUAUCAGCAAAGCUCUAAAAACGUCACCGGCCAACUCCAGGGCAGAGAGCCCAGCCAGUACUUGUGUGACUCCAGAUGAGCUGUUCAGUGAUUCCAAGCUAACUAAUGCGAAUGGGAAGCCAGAGAAAGAACCUGUAAAGCCACCAACAAAGACAUCUGUGAAAGCACCAGUGAAGGCACCUGUGACACCAGAUGAGCCAGCCGGGGACUCUAAGCUUAGCACUGCAAACGGAAAGCCAUCGAAAGCACCUGUGAAGGCACCUGUGAAGGCGAAGACGAAAGCUCCAGUGACACCAGAGGAGUCAGUGCAGUCACCAGUGGAUUGGCCGGUGGAGUGGCCAGAUGUAUCACCUCAGGAAGCUACAGAGGAGCCGAAAGUGGAGCGGCGAGCGUCAAAGCUGUUCGGAAUACGGACACGGAUGUCCAAGUUUUUCAAUGACAAAAACAAGAAGGAGACGUCUGCUCCAGAGUCGGAUGCCAUGAAGCCAGAGUCCCGCGCGGCCAAGCUUUAUUUCCCAGCAGUUAAUGAGGAGACGACGGCUGAGGAGAGUGCUUCUGGGUCGCAGUGGGAACAUGGCGAGAAAAAUGGAUGCCGGCUCUUGUCAGGUGAAAUGGAGGAUUUGUCCAGAAUGUCACGAGAUUGGUGACAGUCAGUUGCUAUUCCAUGAUGGGUUUUAGAGAUCUUGUCUUGGAGAAUUUAUUCUUGUGUGAUACGGAGUGAGAACCUGGCCCAACAACAGUAUCGGUGUCAUCAAAACGUUCCCUCACAUGGUGUCAGAUGAUUGGACGUAUGCUCGGCAGACAUCUAUUCAGGACAACAGUAUCUGUGACCAACUGUCACGGGAGUUGGAAAUAAAACAGGGGCAUUUGGAAUGCUCUCACUCGUGUGAUA